AACGCACGAGACCUGCGGACCUGCGGAAGGAUCAUUAAAAAAGAUCGAACCAAAAAACAUAUGGACGAUCAAAAUCCAUAUCCACCUUGUGUGCACUCAUUGACCGUUCGCUUUGGCAGGAGUUUGGUCUUUUUGAUCCCGGUUCUGGGAUCUCGAAGCGCCGCGAAGGGGGUGUUUGGGAGGACCCCUCCCACACCCUCGGCCUGCCAGAGUUUUUUUUCAAGAUCCACACUUUUUUAA
rnacentral:misc_RNA from 1 species